rnacentral:rRNA from 1 species
GACGAACGCUGGCGGCGUGCUUAACACAUGCAAGUCGAACGGUAAGGCCCUUCGGGGUACACGAGUGGCGAACGGGUGAGUAACACGUGGGUGAUCUGCCCUGCACUUCGGGAUAAGCCUGGGAAACUGGGUCUAAUACCGGAUAGGACCACUGCCUGCAUGGGUGGUGGUGGAAAGCUUUUGCGGUGUGGGAUGGGCCCGCGGCCUAUCAGCUUGUUGGUGGGGUGAUGGCCUACCAAGGCGACGACGGGUAGCCGGCCUUAGAGGGUGACCGGCCACACUGGGGCGGAGAUACGGCCCAGACUCCUACGGGAGGCAGCAGUGGGGAAUAUUGCACAAUGGGCGCAAGCCUGAUGCAGCGACGCCGCGUGAGGGAUGACGGCCUUCGGGUUGUAAACCUCUUUCAGCACCGACGAAGCGCAAGUGACGGUAGGUGCAGAAGAAGGACCGGCCAACUACGUGCCAGCCGCCGCGGUAA